UGGAGCGUGUGGUUUAAUUCGAUGCGCGAAGAACCUUACCUGGGUUUGACAUAGGGGUAGUAGCAAGGUGAAAGCUGCGCGACCCUUCGGGGAGCCUCUACAGGUGCUGCAUGGCUGUCGUCAGCUCGUGUCGUGAGAUGUUGGGUUAAGUCCCGCAACGAGCGCAACCCUCGUCGUUAGUUACAAGUGUCUAACGGGACUGCCGGUUUCAAACCGGAGGAAGGUGGGGAUGACGUCAAGUCAGCAUGGCCUUUAUAUCUUGGGCA
rnacentral:rRNA from 1 species